CCUACGGGAGGCAGCAGUGGGGAAUAUUGGGCAAUGGGCGCAAGCCUGACCCAGCAAUGCCGCGUGAAGGAAGAAGGCUUUCUGGUUGUAAACUUCUUUUACAGGGGAAGAGCACAAGACUGUACCCUGAAAACAAGCCACGGCUAACUACGUGCCAGCAGCCGCGGUAAUACGUAGGUGGCAAGCGUUGUCCGGAUUUACUGGGUGUAAAGGGAGUGUAGCCGGGAAGGUAAGUCAGAGGUGAAAUCUGGAGGCUCAACCUCCAAAUUGCAUCUGAUACUGUUUUUCUAGAGUACUGGAGCGGCAGGCGGAAUGUAUGGUGUAGCGGUGAAAUGCGUAGAGAUCAGACGGAACACCAGUGGCGAAGGCGGUCUGCUGAGCAGCUUCUGACGGUGAGGCGCGAAAGCGUGGGGAGCAAACAGGAUUAGAUACCCCAGUAGUC
rnacentral:rRNA from 1 species